GACGAACGCUGGCGGCGUGCUUAACACAUGCAAGUCGAACGGAAAGGCCCUGCUUUUGUGGGGUGCUCGAGUGGCGAACGGGUGAGUAACACGUGAGUAACCUGCCCUUGACUUUGGGAUAACUUCAGGAAACUGGGGCUAAUACCGGAUAGGAGCUCCUGCUGCAUGGUGGGGGUUGGAAAGUUUCGGCGGUUGGGGAUGGACUCGCGGCUUAUCAGCUUGUUAGUGGGGUAGUGGCUUACCAAGGCUUUGACGGGUAGCCGGCCUGAGAGGGUGACCGGCCACAUUGGGACUGAGGUACGGCCCAGACUCGUACGGGAGGCAGCAGUGGGGAAUCUUGCACAAUGGGCGGAAGCCUGAUGCAGCAACGCCGCGUGCGGGAUGACGGCCUUCGGGUUGUAAACCGCUUUCGCCUGUGACGAAGCGUGAGUGACGGUAAUGAGUAAAGAAGCACCGGCUAACUACGUG
rnacentral:rRNA from 1 species